AGAACGAACGCUGGCGGCAUGCCUAACACAUGCAAGUCGAACGGGACCUUCGGGUCUAGUGGCGCACGGGUGCGUAACGCGUGGGGAUCUGCCCUUAGGUACGGAAUAACUCAGGGAAACUUGAGCUAAUACCGUAUAAUGACUUCGGUCCAAAGAUUUAUCGCCUAGGGAUGAACCCGCGUAGGAUUAGCCUGUUGGUGAGGUAAAGGCUCACCAAGGCGACGAUCCUUAGCUGGUCUGAGAGGAUGAUCAGCCACACUGGGACUGAGACACGGCCCAGACUCCUACGGGAGCAGCAGUGGGAAUAGUUGGACAAGUGGGACGAAAGCCUGAUCCAGACAAGUGACCGCGUGAGUGAUGAAGGUCCUUAGGGUUAGUAAGUCUUACGUUUUACCCGGGAUGAUAAUGACGAGUACCGGAAGAA
rnacentral:rRNA from 1 species